GGCACGCCUAACACAUGCAAGUCGAACGAAGUAGCAAUACUUAGUGGCAGACGGGUGAGUAACAUGUGGGUAUCUGCCCUUUGGCCUGGAAUAACACGAGGAAACUUGUGCUAAUACCGGAUAAGUCUUUACGGAGAAAGCUUUAUGCACCAUUGGAUGAGCCCGCACUUGAUUAGUUUGUUGGUGGGGUAAUGGCCUACCAAGACUUUGAUCAAUAGCUGAUUUGAGAGGAUGAUCAGCCACAUUGGGACUGAGACACGGCCCAAACUCCUACGGGAGGCAGCAGUGGGGAAUCUUGCACAAUGGAGGAAACUCUGAUGCAGCGAUGCCGCGUGAGUGAAGAAGGCCCUUGGGUUGUAAAGCUCUUUCGUCGGGGAAGAAAAUGACUGUACCCGAAUAAGAAGGUCCGGCUAACUUCGUGCCAGCAGCCGCGGUAAUACGAAGGGACCUAGCGUAGUUCGGAAUUACUGGGCUUAAAGAGUUCGUAGGUGGUUGAAAAAGUUAGUGGUGAAAUCCCAGAGCUUAACUCUGGAACUGCCAUUAAAACUUUUCAGCUAGAGUAUGAUAGAGGAAAGCAGAAUUUCUAGUGUAGAGGUGAAAUUCGUAGAUAUUAGAAAGAAUACCAAUUGCGAAGGCAGCUUUCUGGAUCAUUACUGACACUGAGGAACGAAAGCAUGGGUAGCGAAGAGGAUUAGAUACCCUCGUAGUCCAUGCCGUAAACGAUGUGUGUUAGACGUUGGAAAUUUAUUUUCAGUGUCGCAGCGAAAGCGAUAAACACACCGCCUGGGGAGUACGACCGCAAGGUUAAAACUCAAAUGAAUUGACGGGGACCCGCACAAGUAGUGGAGCAUGUGGUUUAAUUCGAAGAUACGCGCAGAACCUUACCAACACUUGACAUGUUCGUCGCGACUCUAAGAGAUUAGAGUUUUCGGUUCGGCCGGACGAAACACAGGUGCUGCAUGGCUGUCGUCAGCUCGUGUCGUGAGAUGUUGGGUUAAGUCCCGCAACGAGCGCAACCCUCACUUUUAGUUGCCAUCAUUAAGUUGGGCACUCUGAAAGAACUGCCAGUGAUAAGCUGGAGGAAGGUGGGGAUGACGUCAAGUCCUCAUGGCCCUUACGUGUUGGGCUACACACGUGCUACAAUGGUAUCUACAACAGGAAGCAAGACUGCGAGGUCAAGCAAAUCCUUAAAAGAUACCUCAGUUCGGAUUGCACUCUGCAACUCGAGUGCAUGAAGCUGGAAUUACUAGUAAUCGUGGAUCAGCGUGCCACGGUGAAUGCGUUCCCGGGUCUUGUACACACCGCCCGUCACACCAUGGGAGUUGGUUCUACCUUAAGGCAAGGUUUCAAACCCUUGACCACGGUAUAGUCAGCGACUGGGGUGAAGUCG
rnacentral:rRNA from 1 species